rnacentral:rRNA from 1 species
CGCAUCUGUGCAUGCAGCAUAUCAAUAAGCGGAGGAAAAGAAACUAACAAGGAUUCCCUCAGUAACGGCGAGUGAAGCGGGAAGAGCUCAAAUUUGAAAUCUUGAAAGGUCCACCUUUCACGAAUUGUAGUUUAAAGAAGUGUUUUCUGUUACGAUCGUAAUAUAAGUUCUUUGGAAUAGGACAUCACAGAGGGUGAGAAUCCCGUCUAUGAUUGCGAUUUGUAGCUUUGUGAUACACUUUCAAAGAGUCGGGUUGUUUGGGAAUGCAGCCCAAAACGGGAGGUAAAUUUCUUCUAAGGCUAAAUAUUGGCGAGAGACCGAUAGCGAACAAGUACCGUGAGGGAAAGAUGAAAAGAACUUUGAAAAGAGAGUUAAAUAGUACGUGAAAUUGUCAAAAGGGAAGCGUUUAACACCAGUGUUGUUUUCUGAAAAUCAACCUCUGUUAGCUUUAUGCAUGUUUGUUUAGACCUAAUCAGCUAUCUUGCAUGUUCUAUUGUUUGCAGUGGUGCACUUUUCAGUUUACAGGUCAACAUCAGUUUUUUUUACCGUAAAAAAGUUAAAGAAAGGUAGCUCAUGGCUCCGGUCGUGAGUGUUAUAGUCUUUCUCCUAUGCGGUAGGAGAGACUGAGGUCUGCAGUGUAGGCUAUUUGGCUAGAUACUCAGGUGCUAUGUGAUACCAUUUCAUAAACAACUUGUUGAUUAUGUUUUGUCUAUUGCAUACUCGCUUGUACUAUCAUACCUACGCUUAGGAUGUUGAAGUCAUCGUAUCGCGC